rnacentral:miRNA from 1 species
UUCAGCUCUGGUCUGGGGAAGGA